CAUGACAACUAUAUUUACAUUAAUAAUGUAUAUACCGCAUACUUAAUUUAAUGUGGAAGAAAGGAAAUGAUUCACACCACGACUAAAUAAUAAUAGCCUCAGAAAAACUGAUGCCUUUUAAAGACACAAAGUUUUCUGAAAACCUAAGAAUUCUGUAAAUCAACACAUCUCAAUAGAACAAAGGAUCGAAGACAUUAAUUAAAAAAAGAUGUGUUUUGUUUUGGCAGUUUGCGAUUCUCACCUGUUAUUUCCGGUUUCUCCAGCGCUAGACGUCCGACGGAUGUGACGUCAAUGCGUGAACAAUGUGCUGGCGUCUGUCUCCUAUGGUAACAGUGGAGGAAAACGGUCUUUACAUGCCGAUUUGGUCGUAGAAAAUGGAUGAAAAUGACGAGGACCUAACUCGUCUUGUUCCAGCGUUAACACAGUUAAUGAAGCUGCAGAGAGCUGAAGGUCUGCGGCUUCUCUCUUUUCUCUUCUCCUGGUCUGAGUACACUGAAGAACGUUGUGAUUUUCAUCAGGAGUUUGUGUAUGACAUCACCACGUUUGCUGCGUCUCGAGGUCUCUCCUGGCCUGACGUGGCUCGAACUGCCAUCACUGCUAAAUCCAUCUUCCCAAAAUUGGAUGGUGUGGAUGCAGCUAAACUUUUGUCUCUGCUCAGAGAUGCUCUCUGUGAUUGUCUUCCAAACCUGUCCCCCCUCCAACGACAUGAAUUCACACGUUUUCUUACUGAGACAUGUGUCAGUCGACACAGACUGUUCCAGGCUGUAGUAAGUGGAGCUGGAAACAUAACCAUUGAGAAGCUUCAGCUGGAGCUGCAGCUGCCACCUACACCACUACCUUUGGCACAGGGCACAGAACAGCAUGAGUGGGAAUGUCAGCUCCAAAUAGCACAAGUCUCUUCAAAACUCCAUAUAAAGGAAGAGAAGCUAAGGAAUCUGCGAGAAGGAUUAAGAGUCACUGUCCAAGUUGAAGAACAUUCUGAAGAUGACCAGCUGGACCAAGAGAAUAUCAUGGAACUGGUGCGAGAAGCUGUGAAAGCUUCUGAGGAGCAGAUGAUGAAGAGUCUGGACCAGGAGACGUCUCUGCUUAGUGAGAUUGUACAGCUAAGACUGCAGUUGGAAGAUUUACAAAGCGAAAUGCUUCAAAGUAAUCAUGACACAGCAACAAAACGUCCAGAUAAGUCUUCCAAGACAAAAGCAAAAGAGACACCAAAAACCCGACGAAGAUAGUAGGAAAAAUGAAACUACUCCUUUAAUUGUAAUAAUUUUAUUACAAAUACACCAUGCUGUGUUUGGUUGCCUUUAAUAUUUAUUUAAAAAAUCAGUAAUUGUGCUACUUUAAACUAUAUUUAAAUGUAUUUUGGCCAAGUUUUAAGUGUCCUGAACAUCAUUCUUCUCUUUGUUGUAUUUUUUUUUCACUUUUAGGAAUUAUUGUAAAAUGUUCGUUUGUUGAUAUAAAUUUACCAAUAGUCAUUUCAUCCAAUAAAAAAAUGGUAUUACCCAUAUAAAAUGUUCGAACGUCUCGUAAAAAACACUCCUCUCCACAGUAAACAGACAAAAAAUGUCUGCCUUCCUGUUGUUUCUCUAAUUGCUUAACAGCGCCCCCACUCAAUUCUUUUAGCAGAUAGCGCAAAGUCAGUGUGGUUAGAAAGAGUACUGUAGUUUUGCUGAGCUGUGAGGUGAAGCUGCAGGUGUAGUGCAACGGAAGUGAUUGAAGAUGACCUAGCUUUCCAGCUAUGUACAACUUUGGUUUUUAUGAAGUCAAAAUUCGAAGAAAACCUUCAUUCAAAACUGGUGAUGAUGAUGGGAAAGGCGCUGAUAACAAUAAUAAAAACAACGACAGUAACAAGAGGCGCAAGAAAAAAAAAGAGAUAAAGCAACAGAAGAAAAACGUCAGACCGAUUGACUAAUGGCGGCCAGUGCAGCCCGGUGUCCAACAAAUGGCUGCGGCUGCGCUCGACCAGGCCUUGGCCUGGACACAGAUCAAUAUUUCACCAUUUAAAAUCUAUCACAGGAGGAUUUUUUUUUCUUCUUCUCCUCCACCACUGCCACCGAAUCAGACGCUGUGCAGUUACAACCAGUAAUCAAUAAGGCAGCACCUUUCACAGAUCCCCAGCACCGUCGCCUUGCUGCAGUGAUGGAUAGCGAGGAAGGCCGCGCUUCAUUUUGUCAGGCCAUUUACGCUUCGGGCGAAUCCUGUCCACUUCAUCCCUCCAGACGAUCAUUUUUCACACUUCAUAAGGAGCAGGAGUGGAGGAUAAGGAGGAGGAAGAAGACAAAGAGAGGAGGCGCACAGAAAGAGAGAGAGAGAGAUAGAGAGAGGGAAACAAACUGAAGAAUGUGGAACGAGGUGGAAGAAGGAGAUGCAGAAAGUGAGGGGGAGGAGAGAACAAGAGUGAUGACAGACUGAUGGUUGGAGAAAGCAGAGGUUUGGAGCAGACUCAGCGGCUCCUGCAGCCAUUUUAGGAUUUUUUUUCUCCAUAAAACCAGACAAAUAGAAUCGUAAUAAAAAAUAACUUAUGGUUUAUAUCCUACUGAUUUAUCACAAGCGUUGCUUUUAGGUGAAAUGUGCAACUAAAGCCCUUAGGAAAGAGGCAAAAAAUGGCUGCCAUGGUGGACACUUCCGAAAUAAGACCUUUUUUUCCCCCACUUAUUUUACAAAAAAAAUUGCUUUGAUCUACAAUAUGUAAUGAUAGUCGUGGUUUCACUAUUUGAUUGUGUGCAGUUGAUUUGUAAAACAAAAACAUUAACUUUAAGCAAAUAGUUGCUCCUAAACUCUAACACUACAUGAAAAACAGUUUCAGGUCAUUGAUCCACCGCUUCCAUAAUCAAUUAGUUUACAUUUUUACUUCUGCAGCUUCAGUGUUUGAAUUAGUUCAUUUAGGUCAUGUGCAGUGACACACACUGACCACAGGAGGCAGCAGUAGAGCAGCAGCUACUUUGUCCCAUUAAGCUACUGUAUAAUUGCUCUGUGGGUUUGUCUAGUGAGGGAGCAAGACUUUUACAAAGCUAUACAUUUUCAGCUAACUCUGUGAAAAAUGACUAGGAUCGUUUGCUGUUGUUUCUCCACUGGCAGCCACAUUUCCACUAAUUGUGUACCUUGUUUUCUUUCACCUCCUGUGAUUUGCAUAAACGUCUCCUCCUCCUCUCUUUCCUGGCUCACUUCCCAAAGAUGCUCAGUGUUCGUGUUGGAUCCAUCUUUCCUUUGGAGAAACAGGCGACAGCUGCUCUGUCUCUGUGUGUGUGUGUGUGUGUGUGUGUGUGUGUAUGUCUCACCUGCUGGCAGGCGAGGAUUAUGAGCUACAAGCUCUUAUUAAAACUGGAUUUGUUUACCCUCCCGCUCGCUCUUCACACAACAACAACAAUGUGACCUGAUCGUGAACAAACCUACAGCCAAAAGUCAGUACAACAGGACCUGGGUAUCCCGUCAAUACAGAAGACAGUCUUGAAAUGAUUUAGUGUUUGACACACCUGAACCUGGUUUUGUGUUGCCUCAACCUGCUGAUAGUCCAUAAAGAACCUUUUCAUAUUGUAGUAAUGGACAUACACAGGAGGCGCUGCUGGUCCACUGCUUCCUAAUGUGGUUUUGUUUGUGUUACUGAAGUAAAUUUAUAGACCGGAUUCCAAACAGUGAGGUCACGGAACAACACGUUUAACCUCUCUGAUCGAGGCAACAGUGAAUCAACAACUGCUCUACACUGUGUUGUAAAAGUGCUAAUUAUCUCCAUGGAGUUUGAUGUGGGAGAGUGAUCUAAUUACACACUAAUUAUCUUCACCACACAAAACAUUAGUUCACAGCUUUCUUUAACCACUAAAUACAAUUUGUUUUACCAUCCUGUCUGCGUAUUAUUUAUUUCAAAUUAAUACUGGUUACCAAUACUUAACCUAUGAGAAAGUCAAUGUUCAGAGAAGGUGGUCUUCUGCUGCUUUGUCUCGUCAUUCUGGGUCACUGAGGUGAAUUAAAAACAAACAAACGUGGUUUUAAAUGGUGAAGUUGCAAACAGUCUGAACUCAGUGAUGGGAGCAUUAACCACUGCUGUGUCCCUCUGAACUGAAACUACUGAUGUUCUCUAUGGACUGUGGUGUUUGGUGGUUUGGUGUCAGGUUCACUGUAGUUUAUAUUAGGACUCACCAUUAAACAAAACCCAGUUGUUGCUUUUAGUGUGGAAGGAAACCAGAGCUGCUGGUGCCUCUCCAGUCAGAAUUAUGAAACAUUCAAAUGAGAAAUCAUUUAAUUAUACAUUUGAACACACAGACAGCAGCUUUUCAAAGAAUAAAGAUUGAUUGCAUUUUUUGGUUAUAGUUUUGAGGCCAAAAAAAUUACAAUUUGAUUAUAUACUUUUUGGAUCAUUUAUAAGACUGUCUAAGCAUAAAGUAAAGCAGUUAACACCUUCAAAAUAUGAUGUUUUUUUGGUUCGUCUACUAGUGAGCGGCCACAUUUUUUUUUUAUCCUCACAUGAUUAUUUUUACAUGUUACCUGCAAAGCUCAUCGUUCGUUCCCCUUCUCAGUGACCCACAUGAAAAGUGUUUCCCGACAGAUCAGACACUGAUCCUCAACGUCUACACAUGAAGGGCUUUCA